rnacentral:rRNA from 1 species
ACCAUAAAACUCCAGUCAGUGAACUUCGCAGUCUGAAAAACAAGUUAAUAAACUAAAACUUUCAACAACGGAUCUCUUGGUUCUGGCAUCGAUGAAGAACGCAGCGAAAUGCGAUAAGUAAUGUGAAUUGCAGAAUUCAGUGAAUCAUCGAAUCUUUGAACGCACAUUGCGCCCCUUGGUAUUCCGAGGGGCAUGCCUGUUCGAGCGNUCAUUUCAACCCUCAAGCUCUGCUUGGUAUUGGGCCCCGUCCUCCACGGACGCGCCUUAAAGACCUCGGCGGUGGCGUCUUGCCUCAAGCGUAGUAGAAAACACCUCGCUUUGGAGCGCACGGCGUCGCCCGCCGGACGAACCUUUGAAUUAUUUCUCAAGGUUGACCUCGGAUCAGGUAGGGAUACCCGCUGAACUUAAGCAUAUCAAUAAGCGGAGGAAAAG